GGGGUAGAAAUGGGCGCAAGCCUGAUCCAGCCAUGCCGCGUGAAGGAUGAAGGCCCUAUGGGUCGUAAACUUUUUUUAUACGGGACAAACCCCCCGACCUGUCGGGGGUUGAUGGUACUGUAAGAAUAAGGGUCGGCUAACUUCGUGCCAGCAGCCGCGGUAAUACGAAGGACCCGAGCGUUAUCCGGAUUUAUUGGGUUUAAAGGGUGCGUAGGCGGAUUAGUAAGUCAGUGGUGAAAGCCCAUCGCUUAGCGGUGGAACUGCCAUUGAUACUGCUAGUCUUGAGUAUGGUUGAGGUGGGCGGAAUGUGUCAUGUAGCGGUGAAAUGCUUAGAUAUGACACAGAACACCAAUUGCGAAGGCAGCUCGCUAAGCCAUAACUGACGCUGAGGCACGAAAGCGUGGGGAGCAAACAGGAUUAGAUACCCUGGUAGUCCACGCCCUAAACGAUGAUAACUCGAUGUUGGCGAUACACAGUCAGCGUCUAAGCGAAAGCAUUAAGUUAUCCACCUGGGAAGUAC
rnacentral:rRNA from 1 species